ACUACGUUGCGGCUCUUCAUCGGGCACUUUGCUUUUUUAAAUGCCAGCUGCCUUUUGAAGGGCAACACUGUGGU
rnacentral:pre_miRNA from 1 species